GGGUCAGUAGGUUGGUCGUGCCACCGGUACGUACUGGUCUCACUGAUUCCUCCUUCCUGAAGAACCGUAAUGCCAUUAAUUUGGUGUUGCGGGGAAACAGGACUGUUACUUUGAAAAAAUUAGAGUGUUUAAAGCAAGCUAACGCUUGAAUACAUUAGCAUGGAAUAAUGAAAUAGGACGAUCGAUCCUAUUAUGUUGGUUUCUAGGAUUGACGUA
rnacentral:rRNA from 1 species